AUGCGAUAAGUAAUGUGAAUUGCAGAAUUCAGUGAAUCAUCGAAUCUUUGAACGCACAUUGCGCCCGCCAGUAUUCUGGCGGGCAUGCCUGUUCGAGCGUCAUUUCAACCAUCAAGCCCCAGGCUUGUGUUGGGGACCUGCGGCUGCCGCAGGCCCUGAAAUCCAGUGGCGGGUUCGCUGUCACCCCGAGCGUAGUAGCAAUAUCUCGCUCAGGGCGUGCUGCGGGCGCCGGCCGUUAAAAGCUGCCUUCUGGCAACACCCAAGGUUGACCUCGGAUCAGGUAGGAAGACCCGCUGAACUUAA
rnacentral:misc_RNA from 1 species